CCUACGGGAGGCUGCAGUGGGGAAUAUUGGACAAUGGGCGAAAGCCUGAUCCAGCCAUGCCGCGUGUGUGAAGAAGGCCUUCGGGUUGUAAAGCACUUUCAGUGGGGAAGAAAGCCUUGGGGCUAAUACCCUCGAGGAAGGACAUCACCCACAGAAGAAGCACCGGCUAACUCCGUGCCAGCAGCCGCGGUAAUACGGAGGGUGCGAGCGUUAAUCGGAAUUACUGGGCGUAAAGCGCGCGUAGGCGGUCUGAUAAGCCGGUUGUGAAAGCCCCGGGCUCAACCUGGGAACGGCAUCCGGAACUGUCAGGCUAGAGUGCAGGAGAGGAGGGUAGAAUUCCCGGUGUAGCGGUGAAAUGCGUAGAGAUCGGGAGGAAUACCAGUGGCGAAGGCGGCCUUCUGGACUGACACUGACGCUGAGGUGCGAAAGCGUGGGUAGCAAACAGGAUUAGAUACCCGUGUAGUC
rnacentral:rRNA from 1 species